GUCGCAUGACUGUCGGAAGAAAGGAUGGCCUCUAUUUAUAAGCUAUCGCCGGAGGAGGGGUUUGCGUCUGAUUAGCUAGUUGGAGGGGUAACGGCCCACCAAGGCGACGAUCAGUAGCCGGUCUGAGAGGAUGAACGGCCACAUUGGAACUGAGACACGGUCCAGACUCCUACGGGAGGCAGCAGUGGGGAAUCUUCCGCAAUGGGCGAAAGCCUGACGGAGCAACGCCGCGUGAGUGAAGACGGCCUUCGGGUUGUAAAGCUCUGUUAUACGGGACGAAAAGUCUUGUGGUUAAUACCCAUAAGAAGUGACGGUACCGUAAGAGAAAGCCACGGCUAACUACGUGCCAGCAGCCGCGGUAAUACGUAGGUGGCAAGCGUUGUCCGGAAUUAUUGGGCGUAAAGGGCGCGCAGGCGGCUUCUUAAGUCUGUCUUAAAAGUGCGGGGCUUAACCCCGUGAUGGGAUGGAAACUGGGAAGCUCAGAGUAUCGGAGAGGAAAGCGGAAUUCCUAGUGUAGCGGUGAAAUGCGUAGAUAUUAGGAGGAACACCAGUGGCGAAAGCGGCUUUCUGGACGAAAACUGACGCUGAGGCGCGAAAGCCAGGGGAGCGAACGGGAUUAGAUACCCCGGUAGUCCUGGCCGUAAACGAUGGGUACUAGGUGUAGGAGGUAUCGACCCCUUCUGUGCCGGAGUUAACGCAAU
rnacentral:rRNA from 1 species